GAAGUGGUUCCGGCCAUCUAUAGGUUCAAUUAUAUUUACUGACUGCCAGCACGUGCACGCUGCCGGCCAUUACCGUGGGAUUGGCUGAUUAAAGUAGGAUUGCUGGGGAUAAGUACGCUGCAACGUGCUGGCCGGCCCUGACCGGAUCCGGCCGCUACCGGAAUCUGAGUUGCAUCUUAUUUCCAAUCAUGAUUAAUUCUUGAUUAUUUCAUGCAGAAAAAAGUGCUGUUAACUUUUUGUUAUUUGUUUACUAUACCCUAUAAUCUAUAAUUAUAUACGGGAAUGGAACUAUAUGGAUUCAAGAAGCCAUUUGCAGCUACAUAUAUACAGCAUAGGAUAUUUUGCAUAUAUAUAUAUUCAGGUGAAAAGUACAAUAUAACAAAAUUGUUCACCAAAAUAAAAUGUACCUAAAGAAAAAUCGCAUAUAAUUAGAAAACUCA